rnacentral:sRNA from 1 species
AAGUGAAGUGCCUGGGCAGCCUGGAUUUCAACACAGCUCCUCCCACUGAAGCAGCCCUCCAUGCCAGCAGUAUGCCUCUGAUGGGUGGCUUAUUUUGGAUCACAUUUACCCUCUAAGACAGUGGCUUUGAAACUUUUUCACUGUGACCUACAGUAACAAACAACCCAAUACAGACAACUUUUUUUAUUUGUUUCUAGUUUUUAAUUUUAUUUUUGUUUCCAAUUUUAUUACAUUACUUAUUUUUAUUUCAACUUUUAGAUUUAGGGGGUACAUGUGCAGUUUCAUAGUAUGUAUAUUAUGUGAUGCUGUGAUUUGGGGUUCAAUUUAUCCUGACACCCAGGUAAGUUAACCUGCUGAGCAACUAUCAGCUGUAUUUGUUCUCAAACCAGGUUGGUGAAAGAUGCUCCUUGGGAUGAGGUCCCGCUUGCUCACUCCCUGGUUGGUUUUGCCACUGCUUAUGACUUCUUGUACAACUACCUGAGCAAGACACAACAGGAGAAGUUUCUUGAAGUGAUUGCCAAUGCCUCAGGGUAUAUGUAUGA